GUCCUCGCUUCAGCAACACAUGUACUAAAAUCAGAGCAAUGCAGAGAUUAGCAUGGCCCCUGUGCAAGGAUAACACGCAAACUGGUGAAGUGUUUCAUUGUUUA
ensembl:snRNA U6 U6 spliceosomal RNA